GGCCACGUGGCCCAAUGGUAAGGCGCUUGACUACGGAUCAAGAGAUUGCAGGUUCGAUCCCUGCCGUGGUCA
rnacentral:tRNA from 1 species